GCCGGGGUGGUGAAAUGGUAUACACGCACGACUCAAAAUCGUGUGCCCAAAAGGCAUGAGGGUUCGAGUCCCUCUCCCGGCACCA
rnacentral:tRNA from 3 species